CAGCAGCCGCGGGAAUACGGAGGGUGCAAGCGUUAAUCGGAAUUACUGGGCGUAAAGCGUGCGCAGGCGGUUCGUUAAGACAGAUGUGAAAUCCCCGGGCUUAACCUGGGAACUGCAUUUGUGACUGGCGGGCUAGAGUAUGGCAGAGGGGGGUAGAAUUCCACGUGUAGCAGUGAAAUGCGUAGAGAUGUGGAGGAAUACCGAUGGCGAAGGCAGCCCCCUGGGCCAAUACUGACGCUCAUGCACGAAAGCGUGGGGAGCAAACAGGAUUAGAUACCCCUGUAGUCCCUGUCUCUUAUAC
rnacentral:rRNA from 1 species